CCUACGGGUGGCAGCAGUAGGGAAUCUUCCACAAUGGGCGAAAGCCUGAUGGAGCAACGCCGCGUGGGUGAAGAAGGUCUUCGGAUCGUAAAACCCUGUUGUUAGAGAAGCAAGUGCGUGAGAGUAACUGUUCACGUUUCGACGGUAUCUAACCAGAAUGCCCCGGCUAACUACGUGCCAGCAGCCGCGGUAAGACGUAGGUGGCAAGCGUUAUCCGGAUUUAUUGGGCGUAAAGGGAACGCAGGCGGUCUUUUAAGUCUGAUGUGAAAGCCUUCGGCUUAACCGGAGUAGUGCAUUGGAAACUGGGAGACGUGAGUGCAGGAGAGGAGAGUGGAAGGCGAGGUGUAGCGGUGAAAUGCGUAGAUAUAAGGAAGAACACCGGUGGCGAAAGCGGCUCUCUGGUCUGUAACUGACGCUGAGGUUCGAAAGCGUGGGUAGCGAACAGGAUUAGAUACCCCAGUAGUC
rnacentral:rRNA from 1 species